rnacentral:tRNA from 1 species
GCGGGGGUGCCUGAGUGGUUAAAAGGGCAGGACUUAAGAUCCUGUGGCUUAGUGCCUACGGAGGUUCGAAUCCUCCCUCCCGCA